rnacentral:rRNA from 1 species
UAACAAGGAUUCCCCUAGUAACUGCGAGUGAAGCGGGAAAAGCUCAAAUUUAAAAUCUGGCAGUCUUUGAUUGUCCGAGUUGUAAUCUAGAGAAGUGUUACCCGCGUUGGACCGUGUACAAGUCUCCUGGAAUGGAGCGUCAUAGAGGGUGAGAAUCCCGUCUUUGACACGGACUCCCAAGGCUUUGUGGUGCGCUCUCAAAGAGUCGAGUUGUUUGGGAAUGCAGCUCAAAAUGGGUGGUAAAUGCCAUCUAAAGCUAAAUACAGGCGAGAGACCGAUAGCGAACAAGUACCGUGAGGGAAAGAUGAAAAGAACUUUGGAAAGAGAGUUAAACAGUACGUGAAAUUGCUGAAAGGGAAACGCUUGAAGUCAGUCGCGUUGGCUGGAAAUCAACCUUGCUCUUGUUGGGUGUACUUUCCAGUUGAUGGGUCAGCAUCAGUUUUGACCAGUGGAAAAAGGCGUAGGAAAUGUGGCUUCUUCGGAAGUGUUAUAGUCCUGCGUUGUAUACAUUGGUUGGGACUGAGGAACUCAGCACGCCGAAAGGCCGGGGCUCGCCCACGUACGUGCUUAGGAUGCUGGCAAAAUGGCUUUAAUCGACCCGUCUUGAAACACGGACCAAGGAGUCUAACAUGCCUGCGAGUGUUUGGGUGGUAAACCCGAGCGCGCAAUGAAAGUGAAAGUUGAGAUCCCUGUCGUGGGGAGCAUCGACGCCCUGACCAGACCUUUUGUGACGGAUCAGCGGUAGAGCAUGUAUGUUGGGACCCGAAAGAUGGUGAACUAUGCCUGAAUAGGGUGAAGCCAGAGGAAACUCUGGUGGAGGCUCGUAGCGAUUCUGACGUGCAAAUCGAUCGUCAAAUUUGGGUAUAGGGGCGAAAGACUAAUCGAACCAUCUAGUAGC